UCAGCAACAAUCAUGAGUCAGAAAUUCAAGCCACCAGAUGCUUUCCAACUAACAGGGACCAAACAAGACCGUUCUACGGUGCCCUGGAAGCUCUGGGGGUGAGGGGAAGUAAACCAAGAGAAUUAUAUUACAAAGGCUACGGGACAAGCCGGCAACAACUGACUCUGGGGUUCUUGGACCUCGCCUUCCGUACAAGAGACUUGGGUUCGGGUCAGGGAAAGGAGAAGACCUGGCCCUGAGCUUGGAAAGAAGUCAAACCUAUCCUGAGGGGAAACGGGACAGGGGAGAGAGCGGCAGGCCAAGCCAGAACGAGACACGGACCGGGCCCAGCCGUCCAGUCCACUGCCGCCACCAACGCCGCCGCC